AUUGAACGCUGGCGGCAGGCCUAACACAUGCAAGUCGAACGAGUGGCGGACGGGUGAGUAAUGUCUGGGAAACUGCCUGAUGGAGGGGGAUAACUACUGGAAACGGUAGCUAAUACCGCAUACCAUCGGAUGUGCCCAGAUGGGAUUAGCUAGUAGGUGGGGUAAAGGCUCACCUGGGCGACGAUCCCUAGCUGGUCUGAGAGGAGGACCAGCAACACUGGAACUGCGAAACGGUCCAGACUCCUACGGUAGGACGCAGUGGGAAAUAUUGCACAAGGGGCGCAAGCCUGAUGCAGCCAUGCCGGUGGUAUGAAGAGGGCCUUCGGGUUGUAAAGUACUUUCAGCGGGGAGGCGUUACCCGCAGAAGAAGCACCGGCUAACUCCGUGCCAGCAGCCGCGGUAAUAC
rnacentral:rRNA from 1 species